GAGCUGUGCGGCACGCUGAGCAGGAAUGGCAAUGUGGACCUCUGUGAUGGGACAUCUUGUGGGAUCUCACAGCCAGUUCUGUGGCAAAGGAGGAUGAAGGCUUACGAGGACUCGUCAGGAAGCUGGAUAACAGAACAAGUGCAAUGUAAGUAAUUUUGUGUGUGCAUGUGGUCCCAUUACAAGGAAUACCCAAUGGCAAAUGAGCACUAAAGAUCCCUCAACACACACAUUGAAUGUAUUGUUCCCUGAGAGCAAUUGUAGAUAGAGGAGUGGGUGGGAAGUCUGAAGUCAGGGCAUUGUUUCUGCCUAUCUGAGUAGGCUGGUUUUUGAUAUUUGUGGGAGCUAGUGGUCGUUAACUCAUUUACCCCCUAUUUGGUGGACUCUGGUUCCCCCAUCUUAAGUGCUGAGUCAGGGGCCUAACCGGGCAGCUUUAACUAUUUGUUUGUUGUAGGUGCUAGAAGACCAGAAAAUGAAAUGGUAAGUGAAACUAAAGGAAUUGUAGAUGCUAAACAGGCUUGGCUUUGUUG
ensembl:processed_transcript Gas5 growth arrest specific 5